rnacentral:rRNA from 1 species
UACGGAGGGUGCAAACGUUGCUCGGAAUCACUGGGCGUAAAGCGCGCGUAGGCGGUUUGGAAAGUUGGAUGUGAAAGCCCUGGGCUCAACCUAGGAAGUGCAUCCAAAACUGACAGACUUGAAUCUCGGAGGGGGCCAGAGAAUUCCCGGUGUAGAGGUGAAAUUCGUAGAUAUCGGGAGGAAUACCAGUGGCGAAGGCGCUGGCCUGGACGAAGAUUGACGCUGAGGUGCGAAAGCGUGGGGAGCAAACAGG